ensembl:lincRNA uncharacterized LOC106027889
CACAACCUGCCCAAGCUGGCACCAAGAUCUAGGACGUUGCAGCUUUCAGACCCAUGAGAAACAACUUUCUGUACUGAAACUACUCAGCCCGUGGUAUUUGUUAUCGUAGAAGGUUGGUCACCUUCAGUACAGCUUCCUGUCUGUGUCCUGGCUCCUCUGCUGUUUUCUACUGGCCCUGUCUGUCAGUGGCCCUGAUGCAAGCCCGAGGACCACCCAGAUAUGGGGCCGAGAUGCUGGCAUGGAGUCAGAAGAACCGGAUGAGGGACUCCCCUCUGCCUCUUCUUAACUGUGUGCCCCGGUAAGUCACUUUACCCUCUGAAUAGUUUCCUCCACUGUAAAAGGGUUGGAAGUGGGGAUUGAGAAAGAAUGUGGAGCUAAAAGCAUUCGACAAACCACACAGUGCUUUUCAGAAUAUCAGAGCCUCUGUGCAGCCCUCACCCGCUCUCCACUACUGCUGAGCUCUGCAAACCUGUUCAGAUUCCAGCUCUGUGACUCCACCUGCCAAGUGGGUCCCUGAGGAUGUCCUAGAAAGUACUUUCACCACCUCUCUAUGUUAACAGCUCAAAAUCUCCAGACACUUCUGAUUACCAGGUCUCUUUUGAGCACACGAUGGUUUUCUUCCUCAAAAUUCUUAAAAAGAAAAAAAAGAAUGCUUGAAAGGCAGUCGGGGCUGGCAGAAGUUGGACUCUCAUUGUCAGCUGAGGAAGGAGGCUGCGAAAGGAAAUGGGAAGAAAGCAGAUACACCGAUAGGCAAGCUGGUGUCCUUCCAGCACCAAAUUCCCAGGAGAAAAAGGAUCAACCAGAAGGCAACACACAGAUCAUUGUAACGAUUACAUAUGCAUCAGUCUGGUGGCCUCUGCCCAGCUGAGGGCUCACUUCCCUCCGGAAGCUGUGCACCAAAGAAGACGGCAACGCGAGGGCUCCAAAAUGACACCAGAUGACAGCUGCACCUGUUGAAGACUGGUUGGGGAACUGUGUGAGCUGGAGAUGAGCUGGCUCCUCGAGGACAGGGGCUGGAGACAUGGGCUGGGAGUUGGCAGUGAGAGCAGGAAAGCAGCUCUCGAAAUGGGGAUACUUCCUGAUGGCUCCUCUCCAGCCUGUGAGGGUGUGGAGCCUGGGUGCUGUGCCAAGGGAGGGGUACCUACAACUAGCAACCUGAGGAGGCUGCUUAUUUCAGAAACUGUUACCAAAUGCCCCCCAUACUCCAGGAUUUGUACAUAUGGUAGGGCAUACUGGAAUUAGGACAGUCACAUCCUGUUUCUCUGAGAAGAGACGACUGACCCCAGUGGUUGAGAAUAUUCUGGAACCUGGCUGGAUGACUGCCUAGAUUCAAGUCCCUGCAGUAUUUGGACAAAUGAUUAACCUUCCUGUGCCUCUGAUUCCUAGGUUUUACAUUGGAGGAAGGCUCAGUACUUACUUUAUGGGACUGAUAUGAAAUUAGAUGAAAUGGGUUAAUGCAUGUGAAAGACUCAACCAGUGCAUGCUGUCCUAACAAGCACUCAUAAAAAUCAGUUGUUAUUAACUGAAGUUGGCCAACCUGUGUGAGAGGAAGCCAGCCAGUGACACAUGCUCCCACGGUCAAGAAAGAUGGAGCUUUGAAGUUUCAUAUUGAUUAUGUACAGCUUCU